rnacentral:snRNA from 1 species
GUGCUCGCUUCAGCAGCACAUAUACUAAAAUUGGAACGAUGCGGAAAAGAUUAGCAUGGCCCCUGCUCAAGGAUGACAUGCAAAUUCAUGAAGCGUUCCAUAUUUUU